GACGAACGCUGGCGGCGUGCUUAACACAUGCAAGUCGAACGGAAAGGCCCUGCUUUUGUGGGGUGCUCGAGUGGCGAACGGGUGAGUAACACGUGAGUAACCUGCCCUUGACUUUGGGAUAACUUCAGGAAACUGGGGCUAAUACCGGAUAGGAGCUCCUGCUGCAUGGUGGGGGUUGGAAAGUUUCGGCGGUUGGGGAUGGACUCGCGGCUUAUCAGCUUGUUGGUGGGGUAGUGGCUUACCAAGGCUUUGACGGGUAGCCGGCCUGAGAGGGUGACCGGCCACAUGGGGACUGAGGUACGGCCCAGACCCCUACGGGGGGCAGCGGUGGGGAAUAUUGCACAAGGGGCGGAAGCCUGAUGCAGCAACGCCGCGUGCGGGAUGACGGCCUUCGGGUUGUAAACCGCUUUCGCCUGUGACGAAGCGUGAGUGACGGUAAUGGGUAAAGAAGCACCGGCUAACUACGU
rnacentral:rRNA from 1 species